rnacentral:piRNA from 1 species
UGGCCAAUAGGAAUUCAGUGCGAG